GUCAUUUGUCCAUUGGUCAAAGCAAUAUCUUUGCUUUUAUGGGGUUCUUGUCCCCAAUCAGAAAUAGUAAAUACUUUGAUUAUUCUUACUUUACAAUACCUGAUCUUGUGUUGAAUAUGAGGAUCAAAGUUAUUAUACAUAAUAAUAGAAUUUGUUUGAACAAGUAUAGUUUCAUAAAAGGCUUGGUUUUUGGCAAAAUUGUCCGGGAU
rnacentral:lncRNA from 1 species